GUGACUCGGGGAAAAAAAAAAUCAGAAUGAGCAAGUACUUCCGCUUAAUCAGUACCCCAACAGCUUUGAAGCACAGAGAACCUGUUGUAAUUGUUAGUGAAAACCUCAUCUUCUUGCAGCAAAUGGCAACAUCUUUUGCUCAAUUCCUGCACUGUCGACUCAGAUUGAUUUCCUUUUAGUUAUAGCAUUUUAACCCAUUUAUCUGGUAGACAAAGCCUCUUUGCUUUCUUUUUUUUUAAGACAGUCUUUUCCAGUUAGAAGUAGAGCAGUGUACUUACAUCGUUAAGGAAAACUUUGAGGAGGUGUUAUUAUAAGAGAUAGGUACAGAGCUGUGUAUCUGAAGCUUUUUACAAGAAAGAAAUGGAACAUUCACAUUGCCAAGGACUUGUUCUAGGAACUGUGGUAAGAGCUGGUUGAUGGGGCAAUGCUGAAAAAAAAAAAAAUGAAUCCCACAAAUUUGGCACACAUCUGCCUCCUGGAUUAAUGUUUUCCCAAACUGUAAACAAGCGGUAGAAGGGACUUCUGGUUUCACCCAUGAUCUUGGCUCCUUUGAUCCAAACCUUUGAGGGAUCUGGCAAGGGACAGAAAGAGCUACCAGAAGAUACAGAGAGAAGGAAGAAGGCAGUAAUGACGAUGACUACCAUACAGCCCUCUCAGACGGAUUCUGUUGUCACACUGAUUCGUCAUCACAGGCAGACCAACGGGUCUGGGUCACAGAAACACUACCUUUGAAAUCAACCGGAGGAUCUGCCAAGCUCUAGAAGUGCCUCAUUUAAAUUCAGACCUCUCUACCACAUGGGCACGUGCAAACUGCUGACAUUCUGAUUUUUAAGACGAGGGCCUUUCUGAAAUGUCACUGCUGGUUUCCUUCAUAAUGUAGAAAGCUUAAGAUUCAGAGUUUUGUACACACUGUGUGUUAGCCAAUUUGACAAUGAAUUAUAUUAAAAAAUAAAAAUAAAAUGCAAAUUUU